rnacentral:rRNA from 1 species
UACGGGGGGGGCAAGCGUUGUUCGGAAUUACUGGGCGUAAAGGGCUCGUAGGUGGCCAACUAAGUCAGACGUGAAAUCCCUCGGCUUAACCGGGGAACUGCGUCUGAUACUGGAUGGCUUGAGUUCGGGAGAGGGAUGCGGAAUUCCAGGUGUAGCGGUGAAAUGCGUAGAUAUCUGGAGGAACACCGGUGGCGAAGGCGGCAUCCUGGACCGACACUGACACUGAGGAGCGAAAGCCAGGGGAGCAAAGCGGG